UACGGGGGUGGCAAUCGUUGUUCGGAAUUACUGGGCGUAAAGGGCUCGUAGGUGGCCAACUAAGUCAGACGUGAAAUCCCUCGGCUUAACCGGGGAACUGCGUCUGAUACUGGAUGGCUUGAGUUUGGGAGAGGGACGCGGAAUUCCAGGUGUAGCGGUGAAAUGCGUAGAUAUCUGGAGGAACACCGGUGGCGAAGGCGGCGUCCUGGACCAACACUGACACUGAUGAGCGAAAGCCAGGGGAGCAAACGGG
rnacentral:rRNA from 1 species